CGCACAAGCGGUGGAGCAUGUGGUUUAAUUCGAUGCAACGCGAAGAACCUUACCUACUCUUGACAUCCAGAGAACUUAGCAGAGAUGCUUUGGUGCCUUCGGGAACUCUGAGACAGGUGCUGCAUGGCUGUCGUCAGCUCGUGUUGUGAAAUGUUGGGUUAAGUCCCGCAACGAGCGCAACCCUUAUCCUUUGUUGCCAGCGGUCCGGCCGGGAACUCAAAGGAGACUGCCAGUGAUAAACUGGAGGAAGGUGGGGAUGACGUCAAGUCAUCAUGGCCCUUACGAGUAGGGCUACACACGUGCUACAAUGGCAUAUACAAAGAGAAGCGACCUCGCGAGAGCAAGCGGACCUCAUAAAGUAUGUCGUAGUCCGGAUUGGAGUCUGCAACUCGACUCCAUGAAGUCGGAAUCGCUAGUAAUCGUGGAUCAGAAUGCCACGGUGAAUACGUUCCCGGGCCUUGUACACACCGCCCGUCACACCAUGGGAGUGGGUUGCAAAAGAAGUAGGUAGCUUAACCUUCGGGAGGGCGCUUACCACUUUGUGAUUCAUGACUGGGGUGAAGUCGUAACAAGGUAACCGUAGGGGAACCUGCGGUUGGAUCACCUCCUUACCUUAAAGAA
rnacentral:rRNA from 1 species